rnacentral:lncRNA from 1 species
AAGCUUUUACAGAUCAAUUUCUCUAGGAAUUGUGAUUUAGGUAUGGUAAUUUUCAUCCAUGGGUAGCUUUCAUCCAUGGAGUCCUCUCAAAAUCUCCAAUUUCAAAAGAUAGAAAUCCCCAAUUGUUAGGGUUUGAUUCCAAAGUCAUGGGUUCCUUUCAAACUUGAUUUUAAAAUGAUUGAAUUGAGUUAUAUUAAGCAUGAAUUGAUGAUUUCCUAUGGUUUUUAUGAUGUAAUCCCCAAGAACCCAUGUGAUUCCCAUAUUUCUCAAAGUUGAUGAUAUGAUGUGGGUCUUUGUUGAUGAAAGAGGAAUUUUAUGAAUUAAUGAAUGAGGUGAUAAAAUCACAUGGAUUAUAAUGAUAUCCAUGUAUAAUGCUUAAAUUCUAGAGGUGUUGAUUGAAAGUAAGUUUUGAACCUGAAGGAGG